AUGCGGGACACCCGCAACCCUGCAAGAAGGGAACGUCUCUUCACGGCCGGGCCACCUGACUCCUUUCCUGGUUCCGCUGAGGGCCAUGGAGACACGACGGUCCCAACAGACAGCGACACUGUGCAGCCUGGCUCUCCAGGGAGCCUGCUGAUGAGGACAUGCAGAGACGGGUGCUGUGUCACGUGUACUGUGUUCGGCGGAGGGACCCAUCUGACCGUCCUCGGUCAGCCCAAGGCCGCACCCUCGGUCGCUCUGUUCCCGCCCUCCACUGACGAGCUCAGCAACGACAAGGCCACGCUGGUGUGCCUCAUCAGUGACUUCUACCCCGGCGUCGUGACGGUGGCCUGGAAGAAAAAUGGCAGCCCCGUCACCCAGGGCGUGGAGACCACCAAGCCCUCCAAACAGAGCAACAACAAGUACGCGGCCAGCAGCUACCUGAGCGUGUCGCCCAGCACGUGGAAGUCAGCCAGCAGCUACAGCUGCCACGUCACGCACGAAGGCAGCACCGUGGAGAAGUCCGUGACCCCCUCGGAGUGUUCCUAGGCCCUGAGCCCUGUUACCCCCGGGGAUCGAACCACAUAUCCCUAGAAAUAUCUCUUUACAAACCCCAAUCAUCCUUUGUGAACGAAAUCCCCUCUUAAUAAAUAUCUUCAUUAUCAAUCAUACAUAA